rnacentral:lncRNA from 1 species
AAGAAACAUAAUUAUGUGAUGAGAGAAAGAAGCUUCACAUCACCAACAUAUAUGUCAAAGGGACAAAGCUAGCACUGAUCACACAUAACAUGCACUAUAUCUUACAAGUACGAUACUGAACAAAUAUCAGGUUGCAAGAUCUUAUCAAAUCUGAAUAUUACAUGUACUACACGUCUCAAAUUUCAGAAAAUUCAGAGAUUAGAGGGAGAAAGAGAGAUAGCAGCAGCAAGAUUGAGGAGAGAGCAUCAACAAAGGGAGGUUGAGAGAGAGAUUCAGCAGAGGGUGUUGGAGAAGGAGAAGCAGCAGGGGGUGUAGCAAUAGAGAAGCAGCAAGGGGGCGCUGAGAGAAGAAGAGGCGCAAGGAGAGAGGUUGAGAGCAGCAGCAGCGGCAGGUAGAAGAAGUUGAGCGGAGGAGGAGCAGCAGUAGGGACGAGGGGAGGAGCAGCAGCGAAGGGGUUGAGAGAGAGAGAGAGACAGCAGGAGGUUGGAGUUCGGAGCAGCAGCAGCGUGGAGAGUUGAGAGAGCAGCAGCAGAGAAAUAGAAGAAGGAGCAGUAGCUUGGGCGCAAGAAGAGCAGCAGGGCGCAUAGGAAGAAGGAGCAGCAGCAGGUUGCAUGGAAGAAGGAGCAGCAGCAGGGGACGUUGAGAGAGAAGAGGAGCAAGAUCGGGGCAGCAAGGAGGAGAGAGGCGCUUGGUGCUGAUGGCGGCAGUGGCUGGAGAUGGUGGCGCUAGUGGAGUGGUGGAUGGAGGCUGCUGGUGGUGGGUAUGCUGGUGGAUGGAUGGGUGACGGAGGCGCACCACCACGUCGGCCUGGCCAUGGCGGCGGCCGGAGUUGGAUAAGGAGGGGUGAGGGAGAGAGAGAUGUGCCAGGCCCGAUUGGAUCCCUCCAGCGCCUAGGGAUUUUGUUCCCCUCCUCUCAUCUGCACUUUGUGAUUUGGCCCUCUUACUUCUCUUCUUUCUUCACAAGAAGAUCCUCCCACUUCUUCAGCUUGCCCCUGGUAACUUCUUUUCUUCUCUCUCGGGUCCUUGACUCCAUCACUUGAUCUUUUGUAGUAGAAGGAUUUUGUGCCUUGUCACACUUUUCUGCAAAAUAAACAAGUGACUAGUCAACAAUCCUUUUAUAUGAUUUUCAUUCAAUUAUUCCAUAUUUAAAACAAGAAUUGGUGGUCAGAACUCAACAAAUGGUAUAUUUGUAUGCCAAAAUUAUGUAUAAGAAAUGUGCUUAUCAAGUUCCCCCACACCUAAAUCUUUACUUGUCCUCAAGUAAAGGCAUAUGACAAGGGCAAGAUGGUGAAUAGUGACCUGACUAGAGAACGCCAAGUGAAGUAGAUCUCCAAACUAUGCAUGCUUUGGACUUAGUUAGUGAGAAUCAAUGGUUAAAAGUGUUACAAAGCAGUAGGAUACUAGUAGACUCAAUCAUUUUAAAAUUCUACAAUGGUAAAAGAAGAUCAACAAGUUCAAAUGAUGAUUGUGCCAAAUGGUUCCUAAAGAGAGCAUGAUCCCAAGAACAAAGCUUGUGAUCAAAUCACUUAUUUACAGAAAUAAAGCAAUGAUAUUAUUAUUACUAGCAAAAAGGCUCAUGCGUUGCAACGGGAGAAAAAAAUCCUCUCAUAUCUCUAGCUGGGUCAGUUGGACAAACUGUGUGUGGCCGGUUCGCAGGUUACGAGAUCGAACCUGUCAUCGGCAAUUCUAUUUUGUGCCAGCUCUCGGACCUGGGCCUCAGUGCGUCGCCAGGUGGGCAUUCUCCGUUGGGCCAAAACGGGUGGCAAGUAACGAAACCAAAUAGCGUACGUGAAAUUAAUUGAAGCGGGACCAAACGAAGCGGGACGAAACCAAGAAUAUCACCUCCCUUUAAUAGUAAAUUAGUCUCACCAAAGGAACAUACCACCGAUCCCGAGAACAUGGUAUACACCCGGCUCAACUAAUUAUUAGUUUUAGUUUUGUUUGUCUCCCCAAAGGAACAUACCACCGAUCCAGAGAACAUGGUAUACACCUGGUUCGACAAUUACAAUGUUUUUAAUAUAAUUAACUCUUAUCCAAUCCAACCAUAUUUCACAAGCCACCGAUCCAGGGAACAUGACAUGCUACUGUUAGGUAAGAUCAGAUAAUUAUUCAUUAUAAGAUUUUUUUUAAUGAACAACACAUAAGCACAAAAAACAGGAAUCCUCACUUCUCCAUGUCUGGUUCACAUGCUACCGAUCCAGGGAACAUAGCAUGCUAAUCCAUAGUGGUUAGGUGAUUGCUCUAAAUGGGAACACACUUGGCACAAAUUCGGCAUCUAAACAUGGUAAUCUAGGUGUAUCAUAGUAAAUGCAGAAAAUGACAUAGUUUACUAGUGCACUAGGGAUUUGAGCACUCAAAACUAAUAGUUCUCACUAAUUUCAGCAAAGCACGCAUGGUGUAGAUCACUAGUUUACAAGGCAUUCAACAAUCAGUUCGCAUAUUCUCAUCAAGCACCAUAUGUCAAAGGUGAAAUUCAGUGGGACAACAUUUAAGAAAUGGCACAAGCAACCCAAAUAAAAAUUUAAUUCAGCAAGCAUCAAUGGAUGAUGAUUUCAAAAUGGGUCAUGAAACAGCUCACCAGGCUUUGAUGAUGUAGCACUCGCUCGAUCACCUCACCAACUGCAGCUCCUCUCCUUUUGCUUCCUCAUACAUGCUCCAGCUUCACUCUUCCUCAUGUGUGCACAUUGCUUCUCCUCAUCACCAUGCCGUGAAUCCACCAGGAUCCCAUGGGAUGUCAUCUCGAACUUGGUCAGCCCGCAAUGAAUGGUGCACAAGCGUAAACCUGAAAGAACACUCAACAAACAAGCCAAAACAAGUGAUAGGGACAAUGCCCUCCAAGUCAUCAAUAGAGUAUCCUAUCACAUAAGCAUAUCUAUUGAGCAUAUCAUACACAUGUAUCAUCAAUUCACUUGGUGCAUAGGUAAUAUCAACGAUAUGACAUAACUUGUCGAGAAAGCUAAGAUAAUACCUGGGAUGAUCUGAGAGAAGUUUUAGGACUACCUUAGUUGAAGAUACUAUGGAAGGCAUGGUAGUAGAAACUUCCACCAGACUCGUGUCAACAAGUGAAAUAUUAGAGUUUGGCUUCUUGACAUCUAGAUCAACCUCAUCAUAAUCAACAAUGCAGGUUUCCAUCUCAGGCUCAAGUGUUGAGGAAUCAAUGUGGCUAAUGUCAUCAAAGGUGAACUUCUCCAUAUCUGGCUCUAGCAGCACAUGAUCAAUAUCAACUAAAGGUGACUCCUCAAUAUAAAAAACAACUAACUGCAGCUCUGGCUCAUCCAUGGAAGAAUCAUCACAAUGCAAAACUAAAUCUCCAACACUAGUAUCCAUAUGAUCUGAAGUGUGUGUGUCAACUAGGAUGGUGUCAUCAUCAUCAUCAAAGAUAAUCCAUGAAAGCUCAAUCUUGUUACACGGAGAAACUGGUUCCGACUUUUGUGUAAGAGAUUCUUGCUGAGAUGAAGUGAUUUGUUGCAAACAAGCAACUGAAUCAGAGAUGGGCUUCUCAUUGUACCACUGAAGUUGGUGGAAGGCUAUACUCUCAAUCAGCAGAAAAGCAUCAUCAAGUGUCUUGUUUGUAAUAGCUCCACCCGCUGCCAUAUCGAUGUAAGCUCGAGUGUCCGAAGUCAAUCCUCUAUAGAAUAUCUGCAACUCUAACCAUCUCUCGAGCCCGUGGUUAGGACAUCUCCUGAAUAAAACCUUGUAUCUCUCCCAAGCAUCAUACAAGCUCUCGUAUUCACGCUGAAUGAAAUUGAAGAUCUCAUCUCGAAUCACAGACUGCUUGUGUAGUGGGAAAUAUCUAUCCAAGAAAGCUCGUGAUAUCUCAUUCCAACUGUAUGACCUUGAUGGCAAGGAUCGAUACCAAGCAUGAGUAUCAUCACGGAGAGAGAAUGUGAACAACCUGCACAUGAUUGCAUCUUGAGGAACUCCAUGGUACUUGACUGUAUCUGAAUACUCCAUGACUCGGUGUAAGUGCUCAUAGGGAUCCUCAGUAGGCAGUCCUCCAAACUGUUGUUGUUGAACCAAAGCAAUAAGACUAGGUUUCAGCUCGAAGUUCUCUGCCUCAAUAGUUGGCCAAAUCGGUCCUGUGAUAUAGCACUGACUUUUGGGCAUCCAAAGAUCACGAAGCAAUGCCAUCUUAACCGAGUGUAACUAUACCUGCAAUUAGUUCAGAUUUCCUACAAACACUCAUAAACAGUAAACACUGGUCAGAAAGUUAGUAUCCUAAUAAGCCGAAGCAACAAAAAGUAAAAAGGUAAAAGAAGCACAGAAAUCAAUUUGAAUGGAAAUUUAAACAAAAACUAAACUAAGCCUAGUCUAUAGCUUCACACAAUCGUUCGACGCUAGUCCCCGGCAACGGCGCCAAAAUGAUCAAUCGAAAGUAUAGUGGGGUUUUUACGACCAAACUACGGAUGUCGUGUUCUCCACAGGGACUAGGCAAAUCGAUGAUCGUGCUUGGCUAAAGCUAGGUAACACAAUUCAGCUUAUGAAUGCAAACAUAAAACCUAAACUAUCAAUGAUUGUCGCCAAAGAAAAUGCAGAUAAGCAAAGGUAGAUUCAGAUUUUACUUGAUGUAUUUUUUUGGUGUUUUUGUUUUAGUUGAGAAAUAAAAUGCUAACACAAGCAAACAUCAAUGGCUAGGGAAUUAAAAAGACAUGAACAUAUAUAUAACUCGCUAACAUAUAACAGGGGGAAGAAACAUAAUUAUGUGACGAGAGAAAGAAGCUUCACAUCACCAACAUAUAUGUCAAAGGGACAAAGCUAGCACUGAUCACACAUAACAUGCACUAUAUCUUACAAGUACGAUACUGAACAAAUAUCAGGUUGCAAGAUCUUAUCAAAUCUGAAUAUUACAUGUACUACACGUCUCAAAUUUCAGAAAAUUCAGAGAUUAGAGGGAGAAAGAGAGAUAGGAGCAGCAAGAUUGAGGAGAGAGCAUCAACAAAGGGAGGUUGAGAGAGAGAUUCAGCAAAGGGUGUUGGAGAAGGAGAAGCAGCAGGGGGUGUAGCAAUAGAGAAGCAGCAAGGUGGCGCUAGAGAGAAGAAGAGGCGCAAGGAGAGAGGUUGAGAGCAGCAGCGGCGACAG